rnacentral:rRNA from 1 species
UACAGGGGGUGCAAACGUUGCUCGGAAUUACUGGGCGUAAAGCGCGCGUAGGUGGUUUGUUAAGUUGGAUGUGAAAGCCCCGGGCUCAACCUGGGAACUGCAUCCAAAACUGGCAAGCUAGAGUACGGUAGAGGGUGGUGGAAUUUCCUGUGUAGCGGUGAAAUGCGUAGAUAUAGGAAGGAACACCAGUGGCGAAGGCGACCACCUGGACUGAUACUGACACUGAGGUGCGAAAGCGUGGGGAGCAAACAGG